rnacentral:snRNA from 1 species
UUUGUUGAAGGUCAAGUGUAGUAUCUGUUCUUACAGUUUAAUAUUU